UGGACAUCGACUUGAAGAACGAAUAUAAUGCAAUAUACCAGACACAGGAUUGUAGACGAGCACAAUGAGGAUAACAGGUCCAGGUCAACAAGUUAGAGGAUGAUGAAGGACAGCAGAGGAAGGUGGUGGACCAGGGAGGAUUCUGGGAGAUGUAGUGCUGAAGGUGACAGGCAUGGUGACUCAUUCUCACCCUCAUGUUGUUCCAAACCCGCCUCAAACACUGAAUCUAUCAGAAAUAAGCAGCUCUACUCACAGCGUGUGAUGUUUUGACGGUCUUCACCGGAACCGUUCAGAAGGACGGAUGGAGCAGACGAGUA